AACGAACGCUGGCGGCAUGCCUAACACAUGCAAGUCGAACGAGACCUUCGGGUCUAGUGGCGCACGGGUGCGUAACGCGUGGGAACCUGCCCUUAGGUUCGGAAUAACUCCCCGAAAGGGGUGCUAAUACCGGAUAAUGUCUUCGGACCAAAGAUUUAUCGCCUUUGGAUGGGCCCGCGUUGGAUUAGCUAGUUGGUAGGGUAAAAGCCUACCAAGGCGACGAUCCAUAGCUGGUCUGAGAGGAUGAUCAGCCACACUGGGACUGAGACACGGCCCAAACUCCUACGGGAGGCAGCAGUGGGGAAUAUUGGACAAGGGGCGAAAGCCUGAUCCAGCAAUGCCGCGUGAGUGAUGAAGGCCUUAGGGUUGUAAAGCUCUUUUACCCGGGAUGAUAAUGACAGUACCGGGAGAAUAAGCGCCGGCUAACUCCGUG
rnacentral:rRNA from 1 species